UCCCUGAUAGCUCAGCUGGUAAAGAAUCUGCCUGCAAUGUGGGAGACCUGGGUUCGAUUCCUGGCUUGGGAA
rnacentral:tRNA from 1 species